CCCGGCCCGUUUGUGCAUUCUCAAUCUCUCAUUAUUACAAUAUGUUACAACAAUCGAUCUAGCUUGUGUUCUAUAGUUCACCGAUUGGCAGAGUUUGACCAUUCCUUCCCAGCCGAAUAUGCUCGAGGAACAUUGCCAAGGCCAUUGAGGUAUUAAGCAUUAAGAACAAAACACCGUAAACCUCCGACUAUAAGCCCUGGGCUUAUAUUUUUCGGCAAGCGAUUUUUGAUGGGCUUAUA